CCAAUAGCGUAUAUUAAAGUUGUUGCAGUUAAAAAGCUCGUAGUUGAAUUUCGGGAUUGGCGCAUCGGUCGUGCCUUACGGGGUAUGAACUGGUGCAGUCAAUUUCUCACCUUCUGGAGAACCGCGAUGUCCUUAAUUGGGUGCCGCGGGGAACCAGGACCUUUACUUUGAAAAAAUUAGAGUGUUUAAAGCAGGCAUUUUUGCUUGAAUACAUUAGCAUGGAAUAAUAAAAUAGGACGGCAUGGUUCUAUUUUGUUGGUUUCUAGGACCACCGUAAUGAUUAAUAGGGAUAGUUGGGGGCAUUAGUAUUCAAUUGUCAGAGGUGAAAUUCUUGGAUUUAUUGAAGACUAACUACUGCGAAAGCAUUUGCCAAGGAUGUGUUCAUUAAUCAAGAACGAAAGUUAGGGGAUCGAAGACGAUCAGAUACCAUCGUAGUCUUAACCAUAAACUAUGCCAACUAUGGAUCGGACGGUGUUAAUUUUUUAAUGACUCGUUUGGCACCUUACG
rnacentral:misc_RNA from 1 species